rnacentral:rRNA from 1 species
CACGUAGGGGGCAAGCGUUGUCCGGAUUUAUUGGGCGUAAAGAGCUCGUAGGCGGUUCGGUAAGUCGGGUGUGAAACCUCCAGGCUCAACCUGGAGACGCCACCCGAUACUGCUGUGACUAGAGUUCGGUAGGGGAGACUGGAAUUCCUGGUGUAGCGGUGAAAUGCGCAGAUAUCAGGAGGAACACCGGUGGCGAAGGCGGGUCUCUGGGCCGAUACUGACGCUGAGGAGCGAAAGCGUGGGGAGCGAACAGG